GCAGCAGUAGGGAAUCUUGGUCAAUUGGCGAAAGCCAGAACCAGUCAUGCCGCGUGCAGGAUGAAGGCCCUACGGGUCGUAAACUGCUUUUAUUCGGGAAGAAAAAGUCUGUUUCCACAGACCUUGACGGUACCGAUUGAAUAAGGACCGGCCAACUCCGUGCCAGCAGCCGCGGUAAUACGGAGGGUCCAAGCGUUAUCCGGAUUCACUGGGUUUAAAGGGUGCGCAGGCGGCUAAGUAAGUCAGUGGUGAAAGCCUUCGGCUCAACCGGAGAAUUGCCAUUGAAACUACUUAGCUUGAGUGCAGUAGAGGUAGGCGGAAUGUAGCAUGUAGCGGUGAAAUGCAUAGAUAUGCUACAGAACACCGAUAGCGAAAGCAGCUUACCACACUGUAACUGACGCUGAGGCACAAAAGCAUGGGUAGCAAACA
rnacentral:rRNA from 1 species